rnacentral:rRNA from 1 species
AAAGACUCAAAUUAAUAUAAACGGCACAAAGGGUGGUUAAAGACUGUUCAUAAAUAAAAUUAAAAAUUGACUAAACUGUUAUACGUAGUAGUUAAAUGUAAACCCAAUAACGAAAGUAAUUUUAAUUAAAAAUCUACUUGAACCCACGAUAGUUAGAACACAAACUGGGAUUAGAUACCCCACUAUGUCUAACCUUAAACUUUGAUUAUUCGCCAGAGUACUACGAGCUACA